GACGAACGCUGGCGGCGUGCCUAAUACAUGCAAGUAGGACGCAGUUGCGAACGGGUGAGUAACGCGUAGGUAACUACCUAUUAGAGGGGGAUAACUAUUGGAAACGAUAGCUAAUACCGCAUACUAGUAGAUGGACAUGCUGUGUAUUAGCUAGUAGGUAGGGUAAUGGCCUACCUAGGCAACGAAACAUAGCCGACCUGAGAGGGUAAUCGGCCACAUUGGGACUGAGAAACGACCCAAACUCCUACGGUAGGCAGCAGUAGGGAAUCUUCCGCAAUGGGCACAAUCCUGACAGAGCAACGCCGCGUGAGUGAAGAAGGUUUUCGGAUCGUAAAGCUCUGUUGUAAGAGAAGCGGUAUCUUACGAGAAAGCCACGGCUAACUACGUGCCAGCAGCCGCGGUAAUUC
rnacentral:rRNA from 1 species